AUAGGGACCUGUAUGAAUGGCAUAACGAGGGCUUAACUGUCUCCUUUUUCAAGUCAAUGAAAUUGAUCUCCCCGUGCAGAAGCGGGGAUGCGACCAUAAGACGAGAAGACCCUGUGGAGCUUUAGACACCAAGGUAGACCAUGUUAAGCACCCCAAAACAAAGGGCCAAACUGAAUGAACCCUGCCCGCAUGUC
rnacentral:rRNA from 1 species